rnacentral:rRNA from 1 species
CCUACGGGAGGCAGCAGUGGGGAAUAUUGCGCAAUGGGCGAAAGCCUGACGCAGCGACGCCGCGUGAGGGAUGAAGGUCUUCGGAUCGUAAACCUCUGUCAGCAGGGAAGAACGGUCACUGUGCUAAUCAGCAGUGAAUUGACGGUACCUGCAAAGGAAGCACCGGCUAACUCCGUGCCAGCAGCCGCGGUAAUACGGAGGGGGCGAGCGUUAAUCGGAAUUACUGGGCGUAAGGCGCUCGUAGGCGGUAUGUCAAGUCAAGGGUGAAAUCCCCGCGCUCAACGUGGGAACUGCCUUUGAAACUGGGAAACUGGAGUGUGUGAGAGGAUAGUGGAAUUCCAGGUGUAGGAGUGAAAUCCGUAGAUAUCUGGAGGAACAUCAGUGGCGAAGGCGACUAUCUGGAACAUAACUGACGCUGAGGAGCGAAAGCGUGGGUAGCAAACAGGAUUAGAUACCCGUGUAGUC